rnacentral:snRNA from 1 species
GCGGAACGCUCCCCUACCGA